rnacentral:rRNA from 1 species
UACGUAGGGAGCAAGCGUUGUCCGGAAUCAUUGGGCGUAAAGCGCGCGUAGGCGGCCUCAUAAGUCCGUUGUGAAAGUCAAAGGCUACCAACCUUUGAAAGCCGAUGGAUACUGUGAGGCUAGAGUACGGAAGAGGCGAGUGGAAUUCCUGGUGUAGCGGUGGAAUGCGCAGAUAUCAGGAGGAACACCAAUAGCGAAGGCAGCUCGCUGGGACGUUACUGACGCUAAGGCGCGAAAGCGUGGGGAGCGAACAGG